UACAGAGGGGGCAAGCGUUUGUUCGGAAUUACUGGGCGUAAAGGGCGCGUAGGCGGCCUUCUAAGUCGAACGUGAAAUCCCUGGGCUCAACCCAGGAACUGCGUCCGAUACUGGAAGGCUUGAAUCCGGGAGAGGGAUGCGGAAUUCCAGGUGUAGCGGUGAAAUGCGUAGAUAUCUGGAGGAACACCGGUGGCGAAGGCGGCAUCCUGGACCGGUAUUGACGCUGAGGCGCGAAAGCCAGGGGAGCAAAGCAGG
rnacentral:rRNA from 1 species